rnacentral:rRNA from 1 species
GAGAGUUUGAUCCUGGCUCAGAACGAACGCUGGCGGCGUGCUUAACACAUGCAAGUCGAGUGCGCGUGCCGUAGCAAUACGGCAUGGCGCACGGCGCACGGGUGCGUAACACGUGGGCAAUCUGCCCUCCGGUGGGGAAUAACCCCGCGAAAGCGGGGCUAAUUCCGCAUAACAUUCCGUGGACCUCGGUCCGCGGACUCAAAGCCGCAAGGCGCCGGAGGAGGGGCCCGAGCCCGAUUAGCUUGUUGGCGAGGUAACGGCUCACCAAGGCAAUGAUCGGUAGCCGGUCUGAGAGGAUGGCCGGCCACACUGGAACUGAGACACGGUCCAGACUCCUACGGGAGGCAGCAGUGGGGAAUCUUGCGCAAUGGGCGAAAGCCUGACGCAGCGACGCCGCGUGGGGGAUGAAGCUUUUCGGAGUGUAAACCCCUUUCGACUGGGACGAAUGCCCGCAAGGGAGUGACGGUACCGGUAGAAGAAGCCCCGGCUAACUACGUGCCAGCAGCCGCGGUAAGACGUAGGGGGCCAGCGUUGCUCGGAAUUAC